UGGGGAAUAUUGGACAGUGGGCGAAAGCCUGAUCCAGCCAUGCCGCGUGUGUGAAGAAGGUCUUCGGAUUGUAAAGCACUUUAAGUUGGGAGGAAGGGCAGUAAGCUAAUACCUUGCUGUUUUGACGUUACCGACAGAAUAAGCACCGGCUAACUCUGUGCCAG
rnacentral:rRNA from 1 species